rnacentral:rRNA from 1 species
GAGUAGGGCGGGACACGUGGUAUCCUGUCUGAAUAUGGGGGGACCAUCCUCCAAGGCUAAAUACUCCUGACUGACCGAUAGUGAACCAGUACCGUGAGGGAAAGGCGAAAAGAACCCCGGCGAGGGGAGUGAAAAAGAACCUGAAACCGUGUACGUACAAGCAGUGGGAGCACGCUUAGGCGUGUGACUGCGUACCUUUUGUAUAAUGGGUCAGCGACUUAUAUUCUGUAGCAAGGUUAACCGAAUAGGGGAGCCGAAGGGAAACCGAGUCUUAACUGGGCGUUAAGUUGCAGGGUAUAGACCCGAAACCCGGUGAUCUAGCCAUGGGCAGGUUGAAGGUUGGGUAACACUAACUGGAGGACCGAACCGACUAAUGUUGAAAAAUUAGCGGAUGACUUGUGGCUGGGGGUGAAAGGCCAAUCAAACCGGGAGAUAGCUGGUUCUCCCCGAAAGCUAUUUAGGUAGCGCCUCGUGAAUUCAUCUCCGGGGGUAGAGCACUGUUUCGGCAAGGGGGUCAUCCCGACUUACCAACCCGAUGCAAACUGCGAAUACCGGAGAAUGUUAUCACGGGAGACACACGGCGGGUGCUAACGUCCGUCGUGAAGAGGGAAACAACCCAGACCGCCAGCUAAGGUCCCAAAGUCAUGGUUAAGUGGGAAACGAUGUGGGAAGGCCCAGACAGCCAGGAUGUUGGCUUAGAAGCAGCCAUCAUUUAAAGAAAGCGUAAUAGCUCACUGGUCGAGUCGGCCUGCGCGGAAGAUGUAACGGGGCUAAACCAUGCACCGAAGCUGCGGCAGCGACGCUGAUGCGUUGUUGGGUAGGGGAGCGUUCUGUAAGCCUGCGAAGGUGUGCUGUGAGGCAUGCUGGAGGUAUCAGAAGUGCGAAUGCUGACAUAAGUAACGAUAAAGCGGGUGAAAAGCCCGCUCGCCGGAAGACCAAGGGUUCCUGUCCAACGUUAAUCGGGGCAGGGUGAGUCGACCCCUAAGGCGAGGCCGAAAGGCGUAGUCGAUGGGAAACAGGUUAAUAUUCCUGUACUUGGUGUUACUGCGAAGGGGGGACGGAGAAGGCUAUGUUGGCCGGGCGACGGUUGUCCCGGUUUAAGCGUGUAGGCUGGU